rnacentral:rRNA from 1 species
AUACAAGUAGUAGGGAAAGGAACUGGACCGACCCUUCGGGGAGCUUGUACAGGUGCUGCAUGGCUGUCGUCAGCUCGUGUCGUGAGAUGUUCGGUUAAGUCCGCUAACGAGCCGCAACCCUUCGCUGUGUGUUACAAGUGUCACACGGAACUGCCGGUCAUAAACCGGAGGAAGGUGGGGAUGACGUCAAGUCAGCAUGGCCUUUAUAUCCUGGGCUACACACACGCUACAAUGGGAAGGGACAAUAGGUUGCGAAGCCGCGAGGCGGAGCCAAUCCAGCAAAACUUCCCUCAGUUCAGAUUGCAGGCUGCAACUCGCCUGCAUGAAGUUGGAGUUGCUAGUAAACGCAGGUCAGCCAUACUGCGUUGAAUACGUUCCCGGGGCUU